UACGUAGGGUCCGAGCGUUUGUCCGGAAUUACUGGGCGUAAAGAGCUCGUAGGUGGUUUGUCGCGUUGUUCGUGAAAACUCACAGCUCAACUGUGGGCGUGCGGGCGAUACGGGCAGACUAGAGUGCGGUAGGGGAGACUGGAAUUCCUGGUGUAGCGGUGAAUGCGCAGAUAUCAGGAGGAACACCGGUGGCGAAGGCGGGUCUCGUGGACAGUUCCUGACGCUGAGGCACGAAGGCCAGGGGAGCAAACGGG
rnacentral:rRNA from 1 species